CACUGGAAUGUUGGAUGUCUCUGAUCCAUGUAUUCUUAGGAAUGUUUAUUGCAAUUUAAGUUUUAUUAAUCUUUGUUUUUUUUAUUGAACAGGCAGCUAUGAGUCAGAUGCAGAAGAGCCAGCCCAAAAAAAUGCCAGGCGCAAAAUCCUCAAUAGAGUCUAUUACACGGAUACCAAAGGACUCCUCAGACCCCUACUCCUGAAGUUAUUGUCACUCCACAAGAGCCUUCAAGAUCUGGGUUCCAAGAAACACCUUUCUGUGGAAAGACCUCUACAGCCACCUGUAGUCAGUGCCAGUAAUUUGGUGUAGGCCAAAACUAGCAAGUAUUUGGACGGUGACACUAUUUGGAUAAUUUUGGCGCUGUAUGCCACCACAAUGGAUUUAAAAUGAAACAACUGAGAUGCAAUUGAACUGCAGACUUUGUUGUGGAUAAAAAUGACAUGAAAUAAACACGAGGGAGACCUAGUAUGAGUAAUAUGUAAUUUUAUUGAAAAUUCACAGGACUGGUUGGAUUCACACUUUAAGAUCUUUAAGAGUAACACACUAUGGUUUAUUAGUCACAGAGAAAUAUAAGAGAUGUGGAGGGCAGGCUGAGAAACACACACACUCUCGUACAGUCAAGGGCGGGCGUGCAGACAUAACACACACAAAGGCCCCAACGCACACACACAUAACAACAUGAGACUAAGGUCUCUCUAAAAUUGUUUUCUCUCUCUCCCACUUUCAAUCCUAAUGGUAGUCAGAAAGUCCUCUUUCAAAACAUCAUGUUAAAUUUGAUAAACCUUUUUUUAAACAUCAUGGUAAUGUAGCUCUUUUUAAAGCUCUUUUUAACCCUAUUGGUAUUGAAAUCAUAGUCUUUUUAAAAUAUAUUGGUUAUCUACUGUGUAAAUACAGUAUAAAUACUGGAGCUUGAGCUCCAGGUGUCAGAUCACUUCUGAGAAUUCUCAUCAUUGUGGAUCUCGUGAGGUGGAAAUAAAAUCUGGACCCUUGCUUCUUCUCA